rnacentral:rRNA from 1 species
GGACGACCGCUGGCGGCGUGCCUACUACCUGCAAGUCGAGCGGACGGCUGGGAGCUUGCUCCCAGACCGUCAGCGGCGGACGGGUGAGUAACACGUGGGCAACCUGCCUGUAAGACUGGGAUAACUCCGGGAAACCGGGGCUAAUACCGGAUAACUCUUUCCCUCACAUGAGGGAAAGCUGAAAGAUGGCAUCUCGCUAUCACUUACAGAUGGGCCCGCGGCGCAUUAGCUAGUUGGUGAGGUAACGGCUCACCAAGGCGACGAUGCGUAGCCGACCUGAGAGGGUGAUCGGCCACACUGGGACUGAGACACGGCCCAGACUCCUACGGGAGGCAGCAGUAGGGAAUCUUCCGCAAUGGACGAAAGUCUGACGGAGCAACGCCGCGUGAGUGAUGAAGGUUUUCGGAUCGUAAAACUCUGUUGUCAGGGAAGAACAAGUACCGGAGUAACUGCCGGUACCUUGACGGUACCUGACCAGAAAGCCACGGCUAACUACGUG